GGCAGAGAUGUCAUCAGAGUGAAAUAAGGUAAGACAACAAGUCAGUGGGCCAAACAAUGCUCCCUUCGCCCAACGUCUGGACUUAUGUUGUUUUCUCUUAGGAGAUGUUUGCCUGGGCAAUGCGCACAACCCUAUGGAAAGCCGAGUGAGUACUUAUUAUGUGUCCUUGAUAUCCUUGAUAUCACAAGUCAAAAAAGCACACUAGUUAACUCGUGAGCUGCAAAAGCUCUGACAUGUCAACUAGUCUCUGUCUGUUUUCAGUGUUUUUUCCUAAAUAUUUUCAUCUGUUUUCGGUCUGAUUUUAGUAUAUACUGUUGGGCACUUUUUUCCGAGGCUUUUGGGAUAUAUUGUGGCAGUGGAGUGAAAACCUUAACCGUGAUACAUAUUGGGUUGGCACUAGGCCUGGCUAGCAGGUAUUCCAAAAGUCCUGCUGUAGCUACCAGGCUCAGGCCCAGACUCAGCCAUCCAUCCACCCACCAGGCUCAGAUCCAGGCCCUGCUGCAGCCCAUCCACCUGCCCCAGGCCCAGGCCCUCCAGCCUCUGCCCCCUGAGUGUGUGGGCCUGUGUGCUAACAGGCUAGCACACAGGCUGACGACACGGAGCUGAGCAGCUAGCCACCGUGCUACCAGCUACCACCAGGCAGCAGCAGCUAGCCACCAGGCUACCAGCUACCACCAGGCAGCAGCAGCAGCUGGCCACCGGGCUACCAACUACCACCAGGCAGCAGCAACAACUAGCCACCAGGCUACCAGCUGGCACCUGGCAGCAGCAGCAGCUAGCCACCAGGCUACCAGCAGCUAGCCACUGGGCUACCAGCUACCACCAGGCAGCAGCAGCAGCUAGCCACCAGGCUACCAGCUACCACCAGGCAGCAGCAGCUAGCCACUGGGCUACCAGCUACCACCAGGCAGCAGCAGCAGCAGCUAGCCACCAGGCUACCAGCUACCACCAGGCAGCAGCAGCAGCUAGCCACCGGGCUACCAGCUACCACCAGGCAGCAGCAGCAGCUAGCCACCGGGCUACCAGCUACCACCAGGCAGCAGCAGCAGCUAGCCACUGGGCUACCAGCUACCACCAGGCAGCAGCAGCUAGCCACCGGGCUACCAGCUACCACCAGGCAGCAGCAGCUAGCCACCAGGCUACCAGCUACCACCAGGCAGCAGCAGCUAGCCACCGCGCUACCAGCUACCACCAGGCAGCAGCAACUAGCCACCGGGCUGCCAGCUACCACCAGGCAGCAGCAGCAGCUAGCCACCGGGCUGCCAGCUACCACCAGGUAGCAGCAGCUAGCCACCGGGCUACCAGCUACUACCAGGCAGCAGCAGUUAGCCACCGGGCUACCAGCUACCACCAGGCAGCAGCAGCAGCUAGCCACCGGGCUACCAGCUACUACCAGGCAGCAGCAGCAGCUAGCCACCAGGCUACCAGCUACCACCAGGCAGCAGCAGUUAGCCACCGGGCUACCAGCUACCACCAGGCAGCAGCAGCUAGCCACCGGGCUACCAGAUACCACCAGGCAGCAGCUAGCCACCAGGCUACCAGCUACCACCUGGCAGCAGCAGCAGCUAGCAUCCUCUCAAACUCUCUGACUGAUUGUAUGAAAUCUGAUGUAUUGUAUCUUGACUUGUCAGAUCAUCUAGCUAUUUUUCAGUUUUCUGAAAUCAAGACAAACAAAGCUAAAAACACUAAAGAAAAAUUUUCGAAAAGAAUAAUGAGCGAAAAAAAUAUUUCUAAGUUUAAAAGCAGGCUUGACUCCAAAUCCUGGGAUAACCUAUACGAGGAGAACAAUGCUGAGUUAGCAUAUCAAAAAUUAAUGGAUGUAUUUAGCUCUUGUUUUGAGGAAUGUUUUCCUGUAACAUGUCUUGUAAAGAAACACCAUUCAGAUUUCAAAAACCAUGGUUUUCACCUGAUUUGUUGAAGUUGUUGAAGAAAAAAAAAGACAAAUUAUAUAAAAGAUAUGUCAACAAUCCCACUCCUCUUAAUC
rnacentral:lncRNA from 1 species